rnacentral:rRNA from 1 species
CCCCUAGUAANCUGCGAGUGAAGCGGGNAAAAGCNUCNAAAUUUAAAANUCUGGCGGUCUUUGGCCGUCCGAGUUGUAGUCUGGAGNAAGUGCUUUCCGCGCUGGACCGUGUACAAGUCUCUUGGAACAGAGCGUCAUAGANGGGUGAGAAUCCCGUCUUUGACACGGACUACCAGUGCUUUGUGAUGCGCUCUCAAAGAGUCGAGUUGUUUGGGAAUGCAGCUCAAAAUGGGUGGUGAAUUCCAUCUAAAGCUAAAUAUUGGCGAGAGACCGAUAGCGAACAAGUACCGUGAGGGAAAGAUGAAAAGCACUUUGGAAAGAGAGUUAAACAGUACGUGAAAUUGCUGAAAGGGAAACGCUUGAAGUCAGUCGCGUCGUCCGGGACUCAGCCUUGCUUCGGCUUGGUGCACUUCCCGGGUGACGGGCCAGCAUCGAUUUUGACCGCUGGAAAAGGGCUGGAGGAAUGUGGCACCUUCGGGUGUGUUAUAGCCUCCAGUCGCAUACGGCGGUUGGGAUCGAGGAACGCAGCACGCCUUACGGCGGGGGUUCGCCCACCUUCGUGCUUAGGAUGCUGGCAUAAUGGCUUUAAACGACCCGUCUUGAAACACGGACCAAGGAGUCUAACAUACCUGCGAGUGUUUGGGUGGAAAACCCGAGCGCGUAAUGAAAGUGAAAGUUGAGACCUCUGUCGUGGAGGGCAUCGACGCCCGGACCUGACGUUCUCUGACGGAUCCGCGGUAGAGCAUGUAUGUUGGGACCCGAAAGAUGGUGAACUAUGCCUGAAUAGGGUGAAGCCAGAGGAAACUCUGGUGGAGGCUCGUAGCGAUUCUGACGUGCAAAUCGAUCGUCAAAUUUGGGUAUAGGGGCGAAA